rnacentral:rRNA from 1 species
GACCGGCGCACGGGUGAGUAACGCGUUUGCAAUUUACCUCUGACUGGGGCAUAGCCCGGAGAAAUUCGGAUUAAUACCCCAUAAUAUCAUUGAAUCGCAUGGUUUAAUGAUUAAAGCUCCGGCGGUCAGAGAUGAGCAUGCGUGUCAUUAGCUGGUUGGUGAGGUAACGGCUCACCAAGGCAACGAUGACUAGGGGGUCUGAGAGGAUGAUCCCCCACACUGGUACUGAGACACGGACCAGACUCCUACGGGAGGCAGCAGUGAGGAAUAUUGGGCAAUGGGCGAAAGCCUGACCCAGCCAUGCCGCGUGAAGGAUGAAUGCCCUAUGGGUUGUAAACUUCUUUUUUACGGGAAGAAUAGUUCCUACGUGUAGGGAUUUGACGGUACCGUAAGAAUAAGCAUCGGCUAACUCCGUGCCAGCAGCCGCGGUAAUACGGAGGAUGCAAGCGUUAUCCGGAUUCAUUGGGUUUAAAGGGUGCGUAGGCGGAAUAUUAAGUCAGCGGUGAAAUCCUGCAGCUUAACUGUAGAACUGCCAUUGAUACUGAUAUUCUUGAAUGUAGUUGAGGUAGGCGGAAUAUGUAAUGUAGCGGUGAAAUGCUUAGAUAUUACAUAGAACACCGAUUGCGAAGGCAGCUUACUAAGCUAUGAUUGACGCUGAG